AGUCUGUGAGCUGGGAGCCUGUUGGCAGGUCCCUCUUUUUAUUUUCGCUGAGAGCUUUCUUUUACUAAAUGCCACCAUCCUUACCUUUCAAGGUGUCUGCGUGCCUAAUUUUUCCUGGUUGUUAGACAAGAACCCGGAUUUUAGUUGAACUCUGGAGCAAAAAUCCUGCAUCAUUUGUAGGUCAACAACAAGAGGCCAGGACCUCCCAAGAAAAGCUUUACUAAUGUAAUAGCUUUGGCCAAGUCCACCCAAUAUAUUUUCCUCUCUGCAAAGAGAAACAAGCUAUUGUCUCAUCUUAGGUUUCAUCUUCUUCCAUGCCACUGUUAUUCAUGUUCAAAUCCUGGCUGUCCUUCAGGGUCCAAUUCAAAUGAUUAUCGCCAUUUUCUAUUAAUGUCAUUUCUUCCUAUUUUCUACCUUUUGUUAGCUAUGUUAAAGUGUUUCUUUACCAACAUCCCCCAUAUAUUGUGUAACACAGUGUCUAUGGCUUACUCAUUUUUGAAUCCUUAUCAUGACCUGACAUAAUGAAGAUUCUUAGUACAUAGUGAUACAUGUAAAUAUGAGUUAAUUAGUACAUGAUAGACUUGAUUUCCAGAAUGAUUUUGUAUAGUUGAAUUGUGUAGUAAGGGGACACAUGUGAAAUGAAGACUUUAGUCAGUAUCAAGAAGAUAUUUUGGGUGACUUCACAUAUCUGCCAAUGAUAAAUCUAGAAACAAUAGGUGCUUGGGUAGGUGAUUUCCUUUUGCCUUCUUUAUCAUUGUUUUCCCAGUAUUUCUUACAUUCAUCUAAUUUCAUUAGAUGCCCAUAUACUUUAUACUGGCUCUUCCUGUGAGGUUCGAACUGGUCCAGUCCAUUUGUUUUCAGAAUUGAUUCAUCUGGAGAGUCAUCUCCUAUCCUCCCAAACAAUGAUAUACCAGUCUGAGGACUGUGUAGAAGGGACUUCUCUUUCUACUCAGUAUGACCAAAAUAAUUCAAUUCUAGUUGUGGUGUGUGAUUUAUGAAUAUUUUGUCCUUUAGUUUGUGUGAGCCAAUUUUGUGCCAUAAGAAUUUUAGCCUCCUUUUCCACAAAAGAGUGAUUUAAUCAAACAAAAGUUGACAAUCAAUGUAGUACAUUUGUGUGACAGUGAUUAAACAUGGUGUUUUUCUCUUAGGUGUCUGAGUAGAUUUGGAAAUGCCCAUUCAGCCCUCAGAGCUCCUCUGCUUUAAGGGUGAUGGACUUCCUGUACCACUACGUAGUGCAUGAGUGCCAGCCACUGGUAUCUAGAACUGUGAUUAGUGAGGAAACACUAGGAGGAACAAACAACCCAACUCUUUUUAUCUAAUCUGUUGACUCCAAAGGGACCUUCUGCUUAUUCCAGUUAAAACUCAAGCUGCAAUUCAAAAUGAAAUCAGUAUCUUUUUUCUCUACUUUUCAGCAAAGCAAGAUGCUACCUUAUAAUUACCACGUAACAAUCAAUCGCAAACAUAGUGGCUUAAAGCAGCUCCUCUUUUAGCCUACAUAUCUGCAAACUGGCAGUCUGGACUGAGCUCAGCUGGAUGUUUUUUCUGAGCUGAUCAUGUAUGUAGGGUCUGCUGCUGGCUGGUUUAGACUGAUGGUGGAUGAGAAACCACAUGAAGAAGAGAGGCAUGAUGGUGGCAGAGUUCUGAAAGAGUCACACAGAAGGGCGUUGAGUUCGUGGCUUGAAAAUAGCAUCCUGUCACUUCUACCACAUUCUAUUUACCAGGCCAGCCCAGAUAAAGAUGUGAAGAAACAGACUCCAUCUCUUGAUGGGAGAAGUUGAAAAUCAAUGGAAAAUGGCAUGGAUAAGGAAAGGAGUGAUGAUUGUGGCCAUAUUUGUAAUGGCCAUAUUUGAUACCCUUUUCAGUUUUCCUAGCCACACUUCUCAUUGGCCAGGAAAAUUAAAUGCAUGUCAACACUGAAGAAAACAGAUCUUGGUUAAAAGCAAUGAUGUAGCUAAUAUCCCGUUCAGGUAAAAGAUUACUUAUAUAGUGUGAGACAGGCAUGAGGCAGAGAAGUGCUUACAGGUUGGUUUCUGCUUUGUUAGCAGAUUUACUUUUAGAUCAUAUACUACUUUGUUUUUACUGUUUUAUUGAGAAAAAAUAACAAAUAUUUCCAAAAUUUUGCAGCAUGCAACUCAGUGCUUCAGUUGGCAUUCAAUCAAAAUUUCCUUGAAAUAAAAAAAGACAAGAGAGAGACUUGGAAUUAUGACUCUUCUACUAGAUUAGCUCCUUCAUGUCAAAAUCUGUCAAGUUUAUGAUUUAUUCAGAUAGCACUUGUUUUUGGUGUAAUAACUAAACUGUUGCUUUAGAGUCUACUACAUUCUCCUCUAUUAUUUGGCAUUUUUCUCUUUAUUAUUUUGUUCAAGUAGGAUAUUGUGCUGAGUUGAACCAUGAAAUGAAUUGUAUUGAGCAACAUCAACAACAUAAAUAUUCUGGGGUGUCAUCUGCAUUUUCAUAUCUGGCUGCUCAAAUUCUUUUUACAGCUAUAGCUUUGAUAAUAAUGUAAUAGCAUAAUGUUUUUCAUUAGAUAUCAAAUCAUAGAAGACAACAAAGAUGUGUUAAGUUAGCAUAGUUUAAUAUAAGGAAACAACAGCAUCAGUAAAAGCAUUGAGCACUAAAUAUCUCUUCCAUUUCAGUUCUUUUACAGGAAGCUUUUGUUACGUGUUGUCAGCACAUUGCUGUGAUGCUCAAGUAUAGCUCUUUAAUGUGAAAACCUGGUAUUUGGGCAUGGCUUGAAGCAGCUCACACUGUCACCUGGGCUGGAGUGCAGUGGCGCAAUCUCGGCUCACUGCAACCUCUGCCUCCUGGGUUCAAGCAAUUCUCCUGCCUCAGCCUCCCAAGUAGCUGGGAUUACAGGCACCCGCCACUACACCCAGCUAAUUUGUUGUAUUUUUAGUAGAGAUGGGGUUUCACUAUGUUGGCCAGGCUGGUCUCAACUCCUGAUCUCAGGUGAUCCCCCCCACCUCAGCCUCCCAAAGUGCUAGGAUUACAGGUGUGAGCCACUGCGCCCAGCCCAAAAUAUCUUAAGUAGAUGGGGUUGUGCCAUAUUGGCCAGUCUGGUCUUGAACUCCUGACCUUGUGAUCCACCUGCCUCGGCCUCCCAAAGUGCUGGGAUUACAGGCAUGAGCCACUGUGCCUGGCCAUAUAAUUUUUAAAAGAAGAUUCAUUAAACAAAGGAUCCACAAUAUAAUAAAAAAUUCCAAACUAUCAAAAGCCAAAUGAUUAAUUCUUGACACUUAGGAAAUAAAUGGAUUGAUUAUUUUGUUCCGAAUUUCAGAACAACCAAUAAAAUAAGAGAAAUAAGAUACAGAAUUUGCAAAUCAUUAGAAAGAAGUAACAAAGUUAUAAACAGGGAAGUAUUUUUAAAUGACACUUGAAAACCCAAACAAAAGAAGACAUAACACACGAUGGCAGCAAAAAGUUUAAACAUAUUAUGAUUACAAUUAUGAUUAGAUAAGUUCCCCUGUCAAAGACAAAGAACAGUAAUUAGUUGUUUAUAAGAACUACACUUAAAUCAAAUGACACACAAAGGUAAAAAUUGAACAAGGCAAUGAGAAGCAAAACAAUACCCAGAAAUAGAUUUCAGCAGAAGUGGGAGUCAUUCUUUCCAGUAUAGGUUUGAAUUCACAAUACCUGCAGGGCCUAAAAAAGCUCAAAUUAAAAUUUAAUGUAAAGUGGUCUCCAAUUAGUAGUUUCCCAAGAUGCCUUGCAGAAGAGGCAAUACAAAUUCAUUCUUUUUUUCUUUUCGCCACAAGGUGGGUGUCAUUGUGACUGGCUGCUACCUCCCCAUGAGUCUUCUAAAAUAAAACCUGCAAAUUCACAUCUUCCCCAUGCUUCCAGAGAAUGCAUAUUCUUCCUUUGAAAAAAGAAAACCAGCACUGUUCAUAAUAGCCAAGAUUUGGAAGCCACCUAAGUGUCCAUCAACAGAUGAAUGGAGAAACUGUGGUACAUAUACACAACGGAGUGCUAUUCAGCCAUAAAAAAGAAUGAUACUCUGUCAUCUGCAACAACAUGAAUGGAACUGGAGAUCAUUAUGUUGUUAAAUAAGCCAGACACAGAAAGACAAACAUCACAUAUUUUCACUUAUUUUGGGGAUAUAAAAGUCAAAACAAACUCAUGGAGAUAGAGAACAGAUAGACGGUUACCAGAGGCUAGGAGGAGGAGUGGUGGGGGGCAGUUAGUGAUGGUUAAUUGGUACAAAAAAAUGGUUAGAAAUAAUAAAUAAGACCUAGUAUUAGAUAGGACAACAGGAGGACUAUAGUCAAAAAUAAUUUAUUUGUACAUUUCAAAGUAACUAAAAGAGUGUAAUUGUAUUAUUUGUAGCACAUAGGAUAAAUGCUUGAGGUGACGGAUACCCCAUUUACCCUGAUGUGAUUAUUACACAUCGUAUGCCUGUACCAAAAGAUCUCAUGUACCUCAUAAAUACAUACACCUACUAUAUACCCACACAAAUUAAAAAUUAAAAAAAUUUAAAGAAAUUACAGUUUGUUGGUUUUGAAUAUUUGACCAAAUUUUUUACUAAGCACAGAUAGAUUGAAUAUAAUUUUAUUGUCCUUUUGACAUUAUGAUAAUGAAGGUAUCUACACAGAAGUCUGAGAUGAGAAAAAAAUGAUAUAAUAUCCACCUACUACAUAGUGGGUAGUUUAUAUACUAAAGUUAUUGUUAUGAGAAAGAAUGGCUUAGGAAUAUUAUUUAAAAUUAAUUAAGGGGUGUUAAAAAUAAAAUACCAAGUGUAAAAAUGACAAAGGCAAGAAGAAACAGUAUAUAAUGUGAGUAAAUCUUAAUCUUUCCAAGAGAGGAGACAGUACAUAAUGUCUAAAAUUGUUAAACCAUGAAAUAGAAAUAUAGUUAUUUUAUUCAUAAUUAAGGAGAUAACUACUAUAGCACGAAAUCGUGCCAAAAAUGGUUGCCUCUGGGAAAUGUGAUUAUAGAUAUUAUAAUAUUUUGGACUGUAAAAAUCUGCUUUUAAGACUGAGGAAAUACAAAUAGGACAAUAUUUAUUUGAAAUUUGUAUCCUCAGGGAGUGUAAAGAAAUUAAUGUAUCCACAAAAUAAUAAUAGCUGCUAUUUGAAAACAUAGUUUUCUUGAAAGUUAAAAUAGUAAUAGUCUUCUAAAAAUUUUGUUAGUUUUGGUUUUCUCUUUAAUCUGAGUUAUGUAGAAAAGUGCUUAUUUCAAAUUAGGUAGGCUUGUUUUAUUCCUUUUUCUGUCUUUUUUCUAUCAACUAGUGUUUUAUUGUGUUCAGAAAAUGCCAUGCAUUAAAAGACUACUUUUGAGAAUUUCUAGAGAUUUUCUUUGUUACUAAAGAGAUUUUUGUAAUUGUUACAUGGGAUUUUAAAAAGAAUGUAAAUUAUCCUUUUUGUCAAGUAUAAUGAUUUCUGAAACCUAGCUGUGUCAGAAUACUGUAUAAUACUGUAAUAGUAUGUUGUUUUUGGCUAUGUGUACUUAUUUCUUAGAGUGGUAUGUUAAAGCCUCGACCUUGUGACUUUGUUUAUUUCUCUCUCUACAUCUAAACAUUUCCAAGACAUGUUAUUUGCAAUACCAAGACCAUAACUAUUAUGUAUUUAAUCAAAAUAAAAUAUUUCGGCUCUCUAUAAUUCACCUUGAACUUUAUUUUGUUAAAUAUAAAUGUUGUUGAUUAUACAACAUUUCAUUAUCAAUCCCUAGACACAUUUCUAAUCCACUAUAAUUGUUUUAAAAUAAAAGGAGAAGGGAAGGUUGUA
rnacentral:lncRNA from 1 species